rnacentral:pre_miRNA from 1 species
CUCCCUCUCCCUCCAUUCCGAAUUACUUGUCGCCUGUAUGGAUGUAUCUAGAUGUAUUUUAGUUCUAGAUACAUCCAUUUCUUCGAUGAGUAAUUUGGAACGGAGGGAGUAGUUG